GACGAACGCUGGCGGCGUGCUUAACACAUGCAAGUCGAACGGAAAGGCCUCUUUCGGGGGGUACUCGAGUGGCGAACGGGUGAGUAACACGUGAGUAACCUGCCCUUGACUUUGGGAUAACUUCUGGAAAAUGGGGCUAAUACCGGAUAGGAGCUACUGCUGCCUGGUGAGGGUUGGAAAGUUUCGGCGGUUGGGGAUGGACUCGCGGCGUAUCAGCUUGUUGGUGGGGUAGUGGCUUACCACGGCGUUGGCGGGUAGCCGGCCUGUGGGAGUGAGCGGCGACAUUGGGACCGAGGUGCGGCCCAGAUGCCGACGGGUGGCAGCAGGGGGGAAGAUUGCACAAGGGGUGGAGGCCGGAUGCAGCAGGGCUGUGGGCGGGAUGACGGCCUUCGUGGUGUAGACCGGCAGCACGCAAGUAGAAGGCUUUUGUGACGGUAGUGGGAGAAUAAGCACCGGCUAACUACGUG
rnacentral:rRNA from 1 species